AUCUAGCUGUCGAGUCCUGAAUAGGACGAAACACGCGUCCACCAU
rnacentral:hammerhead_ribozyme from 1 species